CAUAUCCGCAACACUAACCUUAUUUGAGAUGCAAUCAUUAUUCGCGAUUCAACGAUAUUGCAGUGCUAAAACUCUGUGUUAAUUUUCAUAAGGAUGGGACACUUUCGCUCGAUCGUUCGAAUCACAAACCAUCAGUGUACGUCGUACGGGGGGAGGAAGUCGUCGGCGUUACCCCCACUUUAACGAAGACAUCAGCUGACUUGGCCAAGGGGAGAGGGAAAGGCCGACGAUUUUCUACCUGCUACCUUCUACCUUCUACCUAAUAUACACAAGUGUGUGACCUAAUAGAAUCUGCGUGCUAAAGUUGUGCUUUCCUAUUAAGUUCAGAAAACGGAGUCAGUCUUUUUAAGAUCACUUUUUUCAAAAGAUAUCAGCAUAAAUAUAUCCAAGCACCGAAAAUGCUUAAAUUGUGGGCAUCAAAUCGGCGCAGAACCGAACGCGUUUUCCCGACAGAGUACAUUCUAAUGAGUACCAUCCGAUACAUGUGGCAGCUUCACAGGGAGACGUGCAAAUGCUAAGUGAAACUACAUUUAAACCAAGGCGCAAACGUGAAUGCGCAGGUGAAUAAAUCCGGCCAUUUCCCGUUAUUCUUUGCGGCUGUACAAAAGAAACCGGCAGUGCUAAGAACAUUGCUCGAGAACGGUGCCAACAUUGAUCAGAAUACGACUUUGGAGGGUCGCACAGCUUUGCACGAAGCUUGCAGAAAUGCAGAUGAAGAAUGCAUCAAGAUACUUAUGUCCGCCGGGGCGGAUAUGCUUAUCCACGACAACAAUGUCUACACGCCCUUUGUUUAUCUCAUAAAUCGCAGAAACAUGAAGAAACCAAUCAUCAGGGUGAUGAUAAAGCUGCUGGUGCUGAAAACAGUUUGCCUGCAAUUGUCAGAAGCAUUGAACGACGAGCGGAUGAUCAAAGAGUAUCCCGAUCGUGCUCUGGAUUUACUAUAGCGACUGCAUCAAGCAGAUCGAGAGGAUGAAGUCCACGAAAAUCCUUGAGACCUGCACAUUUUUCCAGUUAUUAACAAAAAACCACCGCGAGGUUGCGGCGCUCAUGCGGAAUCCCGAUUUCGGAGCCAAUUUUGAGUUGUUCGAUCUGAACAAGUUUUGCAUGUAUGCCGAAGAUUUAGCUCGAGCUUUCGAGCGUGCGCAGAAUCAUUUAGACUGCAUGCUGGAUCAGGAAGAUAUAUAAGCCAGGAGACUGAUGAUGGCGUUAAUAGCCAAAUCUGGUGCCCACAAUAUCAAUGCACGAUCAGUUGAUUGAUGUCCAAAAACUAUGAAAUAAAAAUCUAUUCAAUUCUAA